GACGAACGCUGGCGGCGUGCCUAAUACAUGCAAGUCGAACGCAGUGGGGACGGGUGGGUAACACGUGGGUAACCUCCCAUCAGAGGGGAUAACACUUGGCAACAGGUGCUAAACCCAUACUGAUGGAUGGACCAGCGGGGCAUUAGCUAGUUGGGGAGGUAACGGCUCACCAAGGCAACGAUGCAUAGACGACCUGAGAGGAUGAUGGGCCACACGGGAACUGAGACACAGCCCAGACUCCUACGGGAGGCAGCAGUAGGGAAUCGUCGGCAAUGGGCGAAAGUCUGACCGAGCAACGCCGCGUGAGUGAAGAAGGUUUGCGGAUCGUAAAGCUCUGUUGUUAGAGAAGCGGUAUCUAACCAGAAAGCCACGGCUAACUACGUGCCAGCAGCCGCGGUAAUAC
rnacentral:rRNA from 1 species